rnacentral:ncRNA from 1 species
ACACGAUAAUACUAAACCAUUCGCGAGAAUGGGACGGAAAGCCUACAGGGUCUCAUAGCAGACAGCCGGGUUGCCGAA